rnacentral:rRNA from 1 species
GAUGAACGCUGGCGGCGUGCUUAACACAUGCAAGUCGAACGGUGAACACGGAGCUUGCUCGGUGGGAUGAGUGGCGAACGGGUGAGUAACACGUGAGCAACCUGCCCCUGACUCUGGGAUAAGCUCUGGAAACGGCGGCUAAUACUGGAUAGGUGACGUGACCGCAUGGUCUGCGUUUGGAAAGAUUGUUCGGUUGGGGAUGGGCUCGCGGCCUAUCAGCUUGUUGGUGAGGUAAUGGCUCACCAAGGCGUCGACGGGUAGCCGGCCUGAGAGGGUGACCGGCCACACUGGGAUUGAGACACGGCCCAGACUCCUACGGGAGGCAGCAGUGGGGAAUAUUGCACAAUGGGCGGAAGCCUGAUGCAGCAACGCCGCGUGCGGGAUGACGGCCUUCGGGUUGUAAACCUUUUUUAGCAGGGAAGAAGCGAAAGUGACGGUACCUGCAGAAAAAGCGCCGGCUAACUACGUG